CUUCGGGGUCAGGGGAGGUCAGGAAGGGAGCAGGCGGGCAGUUACCCUGCACAGCGGCACCCUCUACUGGCAAGGCAGAAAAUGAUACCAGACAGCACCUCCCACCUCUCCCUCUUAAGUACAGGGGUGCAGGGGCAGGGUAAGGAGACAGAAGAAAGAGAACUAGCACAGUGUCACGUAGGGGCUGCAGAACUGAUUAACCCAGGCUCUCUUUAUACGUUUUUAAAUUUCAGAGGUGCUCUUUCCACAUCCUUCCUCGGGCCAACAAGGGGCAGGAAUGGAAAUACCCGGGACCCACAGGCAGCUGUGAUAACUGAUGUUAAGAGACCCGCAACAGGCAGUGUGUGAGCUCCGGCACGUACUUCUCAGCCUCACGUAAGUGGCCCAUAAUAACUACAGCUUCAGCAGACAACUAAAGAGACUGCAUUAAGGUGAUUUCUCUGGCUAUAAAGAGAGCCUGGCCUGCAGAGCAGUGUGGCUGCUGGGAACUCUGGGAUAGGCAACACUGCCCUCUCUCCCCCAGGGCUACUCCCCGGGCAGGUCGAGGCCCAAGGAAUGACCCAGCAACUGCUCCUUACCCAGCACACUCUCUUUACUGCCACCUGCAAUUACGCUGUGAAGAUGACUGGGUGUGGCCAUCAUGAUUCAGAGAAAUCAAGAUCUAUGACCAUUUUAGGCAAAGAGAGAAACCUGGAGAAUUGCUGAGGACUACUGAACCUUGUUUUGCUUUUUUAAAAAAUACUAAAUCCUCACUUCAGCAUAUUUAGUUGUCAUUAAAAUUAAGCUGAUAUUAUUAAGGGGUUCAUGAACUGAGGUGUCACUCACAAUUACUGCCUUCCAAGUAUUCAUGGGGUAGAUUUCAGUAAUUCUUGUUUGCUUCUGGCUUAGAAAUUGUCAGAAUGAUUUUUCUUUUAUACUUUCCAAUACUUGACUUAAUAUGCAUUUAGUGACUAUUCUGUUUUUUUCAAUAUACAGUUUACAAGAUGACAGAAGAAUCCCAGUUCUUAGGUUAGAAUUGGAUUUCUCCCUCUACAAUUACACAA
rnacentral:lncRNA from 1 species